CAGCCGCCGCGGUAAUACGUAGGUGGCAAGCGUUGUCCGGAAUUAUUGGGCGUAAAGCGCGCGCAGGCGGUUCCUUAAGUCUGAUGUGAAAUCUCGCGGCUCAACCGCGAGCGGCCAUUGGAAACUGGGGAACUUGAGUGCAGGAGAGGGGAGCGGAAUUCCACGUGUAGCGGUGAAAUGCGUAGAGAUGUGGAGGAACACCAGUGGCGAAGGCGGCUCUCUGGCCUGUAACUGACGCUGAGGCGCGAAAGCGUGGGGAGCGAACAGGAUUAGAUACCCUGGUAGUCCACGCCGUAAACGAUGAGUGCUAAGUGUUAGAGGGUAUACACCCUUUAGUGCUGCAGCAAACGCAUUAAGCACUCCGCCUGGGGAGUACGGCCGCAAGGCUGAAACUUAAAGGAAUUGGCGGG
rnacentral:rRNA from 1 species